AAAAAAAGUUGAAUUACUUACUGGAUUUUUUUUUUAAUAAAAAGGGGAUAUUAUGUCCUUGGUUUAGUUUUCACUCAGGUCAUUUUUGCUGGGCUUUGUAGCUUGAUUUGUGUUCUCCUGACUACCACAUCUACACAAUGGCAAAAAUGACGUCAUUCCUGUUGAUUGGGCUGGUUCUUCUGGCGGUCAGUGCCAUAUGUAAUGCAGAUUCAGAAUGGGAUGAAAGAUAUCAAACUGAUAUCGACUGUGUGAACACCAGAUGUGACCAGGGGCAGAAUGUUCCAGAAUCCCAGAAAGGGUUGGAGGAAGUUCUGGCACCGGAAACAGAACAGGCAUCAUCGACAGAGUUCCCAGCGGACUAGUUUCAAAUUUAAAGCAAACACUGAACAUAUCUAAGGAAAGGUCAAAAGGAAACAGUGAAAAAAACGUUCUUCGUUCUACACAAAAUUUGUUGAACUUCACAAGC